UUAAUUUGAGAGUUUGAUCCUGGCUCAGGACGAACGCUGGCGGCGUGCCUAAUACAUGCAAGUCGAACGAACUCUGGUAUUGAUUGGUGCUUGCAUCAUGAUUUACAUUUGAGUGAGUGGCGAACUGGUGAGUAACACGUGGGAAACCUGCCCAGAAGCGGGGGAUAACACCUGGAAACAGAUGCUAAUACCGCAUAACAACUUGGACCGCAUGGUCCGAGUUUGAAAGAUGGCUUCGGCUAUCACUUUUGGAUGGUCCCGCGGCGUAUUAGCUAGAUGGUGAGGUAACGGCUCACCAUGGCAAUGAUACGUAGCCGACCUGAGAGGGUAAUCGGCCACAUUGGGACUGAGACACGGCCCAAACUCCUACGGGAGGCAGCAGUAGGGAAUCUUCCACAAUGGACGAAAGUCUGAUGGAGCAACGCCGCGUGAGUGAAGAAGGGUUUCGGCUCGUAAAACUCUGUUGUUAAAGAAGAACAUAUCUGAGAGUAACUGUUCAGGUAUUGACGGUAUUUAACCAGAAAGCCACGGCUAACUACGUGCCAGCAGCCGCGGUAAUACGUAGGUGGCAAGCGUUGUCCGGAUUUAUUGGGCGUAAAGCGAGCGCAGGCGGUUUUUUAAGUCUGAUGUGAAAGCCUUCGGCUCAACCGAAGAAGUGCAUCGGAAACUGGGAAACUUGAGUGCAGAAGAGGACAGUGGAACUCCAUGUGUAGCGGUGAAAUGCGUAGAUAUAUGGAAGAACACCAGUGGCGAAGGCGGCUGUCUGGUCUGUAACUGACGCUGAGGCUCGAAAGUAUGGGUAGCAAACAGGAUUAGAUACCCUGGUAGUCCAUACCGUAAACGAUGAAUGCUAAGUGUUGGAGGGUUUCCGCCCUUCAGUGCUGCAGCUAACGCAUUAAGCAUUCCGCCUGGGGAGUACGGCCGCAAGGCUGAAACUCAAAGGAAUUGACGGGGGCCCGCACAAGCGGUGGAGCAUGUGGUUUAAUUCGAAGCUACGCGAAGAACCUUACCAGGUCUUGACAUACUAUGCAAAUCUAAGAGAUUAGACGUUCCCUUUGGGGACAUGGAUACAGGUGGUGCAUGGUUGUCGUCAGCUCGUGUCGUGAGAUGUUGGGUUAAGUCCCGCAACGAGCGCAACCCUUAUUAUCAGUUGCCAGCAUUAAGUUGGGCACUCUGGUGAGACUGCCGGUGACAAACCGGAGGAAGGUGGGGAUGACGUCAAAUCAUCAUGCCCCUUAUGACCUGGGCUACACACGUGCUACAAUGGAUGGUACAACGAGUUGCGAACUCGCGAGAGUAAGCUAAUCUCUUAAAGCCAUUCUCAGUUCGGAUUGUAGGCUGCAACUCGCCUACAUGAAGUCGGAAUCGCUAGUAAUCGCGGAUCAGCAUGCCGCGGUGAAUACGUUCCCGGGCCUUGUACACACCGCCCGUCACACCAUGAGAGUUUGUAACACCCAAAGUCGGUGGGGUAACCUUUUAGGAACCAGCCGCCUAAGGUGGGACAGAUGAUUAGGGUGAAGUCGUAACAAGGUAGCCGUAGGAGAACCUGCGGCUGGAUCACCUCCUUUCUAAGGAA
rnacentral:rRNA from 2 species